CCCUUAGAUGUCCUGGGCCGCACGCGCGCUACACUGACAUGUUCAACAAGUUUCUCCUAGUUCGACAGGACUGGGAAAUCUUUGAACGCAUGUCGUGAUAGGGAUAGAUCAUUGCAAUUAUUGAUCUUGAACGAGGAAUUCCUAGUAAACGCGAGUCAUCAGCUCGCAUUGAUUACGUCCCUGCCCUUUGUACACACCGCCCGCCGCACCUACCGAUUGAAUGUUUCGGUGAAGAUUCCGGAUAGGACUGAUUUGAUUUAUUUCAUUUCUGACCUAAAAGCUAUCUAAACCUCAACAUUUAGAGGAAGGUGAAGUCGUAACA
rnacentral:rRNA from 1 species